ACCUCCGGACUGGGGUUCGCAAGCUUCACGGCGAACGUACCUCGGGAAGUUGGUUAAACCUCGCUAUUUAGAGGAAGGUGAAGUCGUAACAAGGUCUCCGUAGGUGAACCUGCAGAAGGAUC
rnacentral:rRNA from 1 species